AUGCAUGACCCACGCGAGCAACACCUGUCCUUGGUUAAGCGUGUUCUCCGAUACGUCAAGGGCACCUUACACCAUGGUCUCCAACUUGUGCCGUCUACCACGGGCUGUCUCAUUGCCUACACUGACGCUGACUGGGCUAGCUGUCCUGAUACCCGUCGUUCGACUUCGGGUUAUUGUGUGUUCCUUGGUGACAAUCUUGUCUCUUGGUCCUCCAAGCGUCAGCACACCGUCUCUCGCUCUAGCGCCGAGGCCGAGUAUCGAGCCGUUGCCAAUGCUGUUGCUGAAGCUAGUUGGCUUCGUCAACUUCUCAACGAGCUUCAUCGCCCUCUCCCUAGUGCCACCAUUGUCUUCUGCGACAAUGUCUCCGCGGUGUACAUGUCCACGAAUCCGGUUCAACACCAACGCACCAAACACAUCGAGAUUGAUCUUCACUUCGUUCGCGACCGUGUUGCGCUUGGGCACAUUCGAGUUCUUCAUGUGCCUUCUUCGCGGCAGUUCGCAGACAUUUUCACCAAAGGCCUACCAUCACCUUUGUUCUUGGAUUUUCGAUCCAGUCUCAGCGUCCGAGAAUCUCCCGCUGUGACUGAGGGGGGAUGUUAG
rnacentral:rRNA from 1 species